AGAAUUAACGCUGGCGGCGUGCCUAACACAUGCAAGUCGAACGCGGUUACCCCGCAAGGGGUAACUGAGUGGCGAACGGGUGAGUAACACGUGGGUGACCUACCUUCGAAUGGGGGAUAACGUCCCGAAAGGGACGCUAAUACCGCAUAACAUCCUGCCUUUGAACAGGCGGAGAUCAAAGCCGGGGAUCGCAAGACCUGGCGUUUGAAGAGGGGCCGCGUCCGAUUAGCUAGUCGGUGAGGUAACGGCUCACCAAGGCGACGAUCGGUA
rnacentral:rRNA from 1 species